AGAACACUUGUCAAAUACCCAUUUGUGAUGCCUAGCAUGAAGGUUAGAGCCACAACUGGAACUUCUGUUUUCAGCCAUGUUGGUCCAUGGAGGCAUGCUGCGAAGAGCGGAUAGAACAGUAGCCUCAGAACACAACCCCAGGUGGCAGUCUUGAUGCUCUUCAAAACAUAGACUGCUGUUAUCGACUUGCCUAUUAAAUCUGAUGCAUUGUAUAUUGUUAUUAGCAGGAGUGGAUACCAGUCACUCAACAUGUUAGAUUUAAGAUCUUCGGCUAGGAAUCCUGGGAAGAUAGACAGGGUCACGACGUAGAUGGUUAGAAUACCGGAACCUGGCCACUGGAUUUUCCUCGCCACACCCCAGAAUUUCGGCCUUACAU
rnacentral:lncRNA from 1 species